AAACGAAAUAGAUUAUUUUGAUAUAAAUAACACCUUUUCAAGCUAGGUUUAAAAUAGAAUGCAAAGUACAGUAUUUGUGGUGGUGCAUUGUGACGUCAUGCAGCACUGUGACGUCACAGAGACGAAAUCAACUUGUUGUUUCGUGACUCGAUAACCAUCAACAGUCGCGAUCAUGCCGUCCAGGACGAAUGUCGUGGUUUUCAGCGGCGUGUUUAGCUUGAUGAAAUUGAUUUUAUUGAUCCAUAAUUCACUCGUUAAUAAAGAACCGAUCGAUAUGAACAUCACGGAAGCACCUGCACAGCCACAGAUCCUUCCAGAAAAAGUACCUGUAAACACUUGUCCAAGGGAGCCCCCCAUAUGGAGUUCCUCAAGGUGGACACAAACUCAUUGGAUGCUCCCCAUGACAAUGGCAUCAAGUAACAAAUCUGUGUCCUUGGAUGAUCCUCUUGUGUCCACCUCUAUCAAAAAUGAUACACUGAAGCUCGAGGAUACAAAAGGGAGGCUGAUGUCUGCAGAGGAACAAACCUCCGCACGAAGCUCACCGGACAAUGUACCAGCGACUUUGAUGACCCCAGUGACUGAGAUCGCUGGAACUGAAACUGUAUCUCUCGAUUAUGUGGAUGUGCAAGAAUGGCUGGACAUUAAUUCACUGGAAGAUGAUGAAGAGGAAGAGUUGGUGGAAAUAACCUGGGAAAGCAUCAUUGGUGUUGUAUUCAUCAUUUUAGAUGUUUACUGGGUCGGUUCCCAUUUGACAAAGUGGAUAAAGAGUUUGGAGAAGAUUUCCACUAAAAGAAAGAGCAACUCUAAAAAGAGGAAGAGACAGCGUAAUAUUUCUUGAAAGUUUACAUGCUUAGGAUGUUUGUGCUUUUAUGACAAUAAAAUAAAUAUACAACAUGAAGCAUCGUGUUCGAAUCUUAUUUUGUCAAUGUAUAUUUCCAUCGGCUGUUUUGGCCUUUAUUGACCCCAAUAUGCAUGCAUAGUUGGUUGGCAGCUGUGUACAUCUCAAAUGUUAUUAACCUUCGAAAUAUUGUCCACCAGGACAGUCUCCAAUGUUAACAAGUAAAAAAAGACAUAAAAUGUCAUAGCCCUCAUUGUUUUAGUUAUUUAGCUGUUUGGACCUAAAGAGCUAAACCCAUAUUUAUAUGAACAACUAAAAUGGCCGCCAGUCUUCCAAUCAGCCAUCAUUGAUCAGAUCACAAAAUAAAGAGAGGGGCACGUGUAUGCCAUCA
rnacentral:lncRNA from 1 species